CUUCCGGUGGCGCCGUGGCUUUCCCGAGCUUUUGAUGAGAGAGUGUGAGCUUGUGAGCUUGUGAGCUUGUGAAGCCGAGACAGGCUCCAUCCCGCCCCCACCCUGUCCUCCCCCAGGGGCUGAGUAUCCUGGGCUAGCAGAGAAUGACGCCCAGAACUCUCCGGAGUCUGACUCGGACUUCUCCCUUCCUUCCGGUCCCCUCCGAGGCCCCGUAGUGCCUACAGGCCGCGCCUGCGCAGAUGCACUCUGGGCCAUUACCCUACCUGGGCUUCUCCCUGCGCAGAACUCCUCAAAGUGGGUGUAGGGGCUAUAGGAUUACAGGUCCCACCCACCGGGAGACGCGUCCGUCUUCCAGAAUGCGCCGUGCCCUAAGCAUGACAGGGAGCCUACUUCAUGAAGGUAACAAGGAAAAAGCCUGAUAUCAUUCAAGACUUUUCUCCUCAUUGUCUCAGAUGGAAUCAGCAGUCAAGAGAACCAUGAUGGCCCAGGUAAACUACAGUUGCCUCUGCCUGUCAUAUGCUCCCCAUGAGUUGUUUUACCUCUUUGUCCCUAGCAUGUCCUUUCAUCUGAAGCUUUAGCUCAUCCUGCUGCUCACCAGACUCAGACUGGUCUGUUUCCUUCUCCAUAUGACUAAUAACCAAGAUAAUAUGAAGCAGCUAGCUCCAGCGGAGGUCCAUGUGUCAAUCUUGCUUUCCACACUUACUAAUUAGUAAGUCUUCCCACCUCUCAAGACCUUAGCUCCCUCAUCUGUAAAGUUAAAGGGGUCAAACUCUGAUCCUGUGAUCCUAAGGCCUAGACCCAAACCCCAGACUCAUCUAUACAUCCCAUAUUCCUGUUACUUCCUCUGUGAUUCUGGACAAGUGGACCCCCCUUCCCACACACACACAGUGAAAUAUGUAUGAUAACCAUCUAUACAACUGUUCUGGGGGUGCUCUAAGGAGAAUUCUGCAAAGUAAAUAUUGUGGGUACAAAUUCAAUAGUAUAGCUAAAAGCACUUUAGAAAGAAAUAUGAGUUGUUAGAAUGAUGGUGAUAACAUAAUUUUGGAAUUGGGCUAACAUGAUAUUGUCAGGAAAUAUAACAAAUUUUUCAGUCUUUUAAGGGCUCCUAAGUGCUCGGCAUAGAUUAUUAUUAUUUUUUUAAGAGUGGUAAGGGCUGGGCAAGGGGGAUUAAGUGACUUGCCCAGGGUCACACAGCUGGGGAGUGUCUGAGGUCAGAUUUGAAUUUAGGACCUCCCAUCUCUAGACCUGGCUCUCAAUCCACUGAGCUACCCAGCUGCCCCUUUGGCAUAGAUUAUUGAGAGGUAGUAGAGUGAAGUUCAAGCCUUGGAGUCAGGAUGAUUUCAGGGGUUCAGAUCCAACCUCUAACCACAUGGACAAUCACUUUCCCUUUCUGGCUCUCUUUCCUUCUCUACAAAAUGAAGAUCCUAAUGCCUUUGAUGCUUAGGGAUGUGUUGUGGCUUAAAUGGGAUCAUGGGGUAAAGUAUUUGGUCCUCAUACCCAGCUGUUGAUCGUCCGUUGCCAAUUGUGAUAACCCGGUCGAUGACUGUGCCAGUAUAAGUCAGGAAUUUCUUGUGUCACCUCCGUUUACUAUAUUCCAUUUCUUUGGGGCAGACAGGACGAACCAUGUUAUCCCCAUUUAGCAAAUGGCCAACUGAAACCCAGAGAAACUGGCUUGGUAAGUACAGUUAGAUGCUUUUCAUGUCCCAGCCUCUGUUCCUCUCCCCUGAUUCAGCCACAUGGCCUCAGCCCGAAAAAUCCUCCAGGUCCCUGCCUUCUUGCUCCUUGGUGUUGCUUCUCUAUCUUUCCUCCCAAGGCUGACCCAAGGAAUUAUCCAUCCUCCCUCCCUCCCCCACCCAGGGCAAUAAGACUCUCAUUUCAGGGGUCAGUGACAAUUGAAAACGUCAGUGUUUCUUUUAGCCCGGAAGAAUGAAGAUGUGAUGCUGGAGAACCACUGCGGUGUGGCUUUGCUGGGAGGACUUCCACCUUCCAAACCAGUACUGAUCUGCCAGCCGCAGCAAGGAAAAAUGCCAUGGGUUCUGGAUCCCCUGGGUCGCUGUGAGACCAGCAGCAGAAAUGUCUGCUCAAUUGAAAGAAAGUGACUUCAGACAGAAGCAAAUGGAAGAAGUUUGGAUGGCAAAAGGACAGAGAUGGAGGCACAUUGUCAAUACCCAGAAGCAUGCAAACUGCCAUGGGCCAGUCGCUCAAUUGUACAUCUGGAAGCAGCAUUUAUCAGGCGCCAAUUCUGGGCCAGAAAACCACUGAGAUGAACAAGACCUCCAGAGUGUCCUAGAGUGGCAAAGAGAACACCCCCAGGGCCUUCUGGGAAGGGAAGAAGGACCAGAAGUAGGUGGCGGACCAGGGGAGUACUUCCAAUUGAUUGUGCUGAAGUCCUGAGGGCCGCUUGAGGGGGUGAGUCCACAUUUGGGUGGGGCAGUGUUAGAACUGUUGAGCAUCAGUCUGGCCCUGGAACCAGCUCCAGGUCAAAAGGAAAUGAGAGGCUAGGCCAGGCCCAGCAGUGCGCAUGCACCCUGCCAGCUGCCUGGUUCCCUCUCCUCUCUUUCCACUGGUCUAUCCCUCUCGACCCUUCUUCACAGCUCUCUUUCCACAGUGUCACUGGUUCACCAUCCCCGGUUCGGACUUUGGCUUUCCCCUUCUCAGGGCCUCAGUUUCUUCCUUGGCCCUUUUCUUUGUUCUCCAAAACCAGAUUCAUGCAUUUUCUGUAAAUGAAGGGUAGGCUAUAGACAUCAGCUAUGUACUAGGGUGUAAGGACUAUGAUACAGCUACUGAGUGCUUCUAGCUGCCUGGAUACACAGAAACAUGGCCGUCCUUCAUUACUGUCCAUGCCCGCCCAUCUGGCCCUGGCCUCAGGAUGAUAUGGCACUAUGAACCCUCUGUGCUGCCUCCCCUUACAAUCAGCUGGACUGGAAACCCAUCUAUAACAUCCUUGCUUCGUGAUCAACUAGUCCAGCCUCACAACCAUAGAGUUAGGAAGCAAUGCCAGUGGAGAAGAGGCCAACCAUGUCCACAAACUACUACCCACAGGCAGGCAGGCCAGCCAGGCACCCUGAGACAGACAGGAGUUAGUGGGUGCAGAUCAGGCCAUUGCUCCCACCCCUUUGAUCACCAUCUUCCCUGACCCUGACGGAGACAGUCAAAGACCCUGAGCCCAAGGGCUAGAUUUCCUGGCCAGGGCCAUCAACCAUUCUCCUGGGAAUCAAACCCUGGAGAGAUACAUCUUGGGGACCGACCACUCCUACAGUGGCUACCAAAGACCAAGAAAGGAAAGUCCUGGCUGCCAAACUCCUUGGCCUGGUCCAAUGGCUCUACAUCAGAAAAUGAUGCCAUUUUGUGAGCGGAAGUGACAUGAAAUAAGAGGCAUGUCCCUUGUGCUGUUGUCCCCUAAGGACCAUGGGAUCUUUUCGGGUGCCUUGCCAAUGAAACCUUCCCUAGCUAUUGCCUUCAAGUCUCCUUGAGAGCAGGGACUGUCAGACUUCUCUCUUUGUAUCUCCAAUGCUUAGUGUGGGGCUUGGCAUGUAGUGAGCAGUUAAUAAAUGUGCUUUUCAUCAUGCAUUCAUUGGUACAAGUCUGUCUAUGCUUCUUGAAUUCUUCAUAGUCACAGUAAUGUUCCGUCACAUUCAUGUGCCACAAGUUAUUUGGCCAUAUCUCCAUUCACAGACCUCUGCUUUGUUUCCUCUUCUUUUGCUGGCAUGAAAAGGGCUGCUGGGUUUGGUCUAUGGGACCUUUCCUCUGGGCUUUCUGCUAUAUUUUGGAAGGCACUGAUUGUUGAGGAAGUUUUGUCUUACAUCAUGUUCAAAUUGACCUCUUUGCAGCUUCUACUCAUCCCUCUUAGCUUAGUUCUCUGGGCUAAGAGGCUGGACAAGGCUAAUCCUUUUCCUGUAUAACAGUGAUCAUCUCCUCCAGGCUAAACAUCUCUUAUUUCUUCAAUUUGGCAUAUGUGUGGAGUGAAAUUCAGGGGUGGGGCUCGUACCCCCCAAAUCACUCUAAUGAGCAGACAGGAGACUUGAUGCUGGCAGAGGGGGGCAUAGGGAGAGAGAGUGGCUGCACAGUCUGAGGUCUCAGAAGUGGGCACAGAUGCCUAGAUUUACUCAGAUCCAACCCAAUGCUAUCCCCACUUUCCCAUCAUCUGCAUCUAUUUCUAGCCUCCUUAAUCCUUCCCAAGGCUUCUGAGUGUCUUUUCUUUGUUUCCAAGCAGGAGGGCGUAUUCCUUGGGUUUGCAUUUUUUAGUUGAGUCAGCUUUUUAGGCCUGUCCAAGGAUUUAUCGGUUCGCAACAAUUCAGGCCGAAACAUUUCUCUAGCUAUAGUAAUCUUUGCAAUCAUUUCUCAGGACAUGCAGUUAAGAUGAUAACUUGUAAGCUUUGAGAUUUCUCUCAUGGGAAUUAGGUCACCCCUAAACUUCUUCCCACGGGAAUAGAAGAAGGGGGGCCAGUCUUUUAGCCACGCUUGAAGAGAGUAUAUUAAAGGCCUAUACUGAUAUAUAUGAAGCUGCUUGGGGAGGGGGUUUCUUCCACUCUUCAGGAGAGAUUGCUAUCUCCUAGGGGAGGCACCUAACUUCACUAUUUUUCUAUAGGAAGUUGCCAGUCUAUGAUUAUCAGUGUAUGUUGGGGAAUGAUGCACUAUUUCAUCCCACACACAUAUAUAUGGCACAAUCUGCAGCUUAGCAUUGCCCAUUACAAAGUGUGAUAAUUUCUCCUCUCUUCAACCAUUUUCUUAUUCCCCUCCCAACCCCAGCUUUCUUUCUUUCUCUUCUUUUCUUUCCCCUUUUUUUUCUUUACCUCUCUCUUGUCCUUUCCCUUGUCCCACAUCCCUUUUCAAACCUCUCCCUUCUGUCCAGCAAUCUAAAUCAAAGCCACACAUUUAUUUUUCUAUGGAAAGACAUUUCCAUCCUGGUCAAAAAACAAUUUUUUUAGCCCAUCAGAUUAAGCAGCUUUCUAUAUGAGGCCUUGAAUUAAAUCUGUCCAAAAUAAUGCCAACAAAUAAAUUAGAUAUCAUGACUGUUGCUUGCCACUUUUGACAAUGCUGACUCUACCCUUCUCUUGUGUUUAUAUAAAGAAUUAUGAUACUAGAGAAUCAGAAGAAGAGGCCUAGAUACAAUCCUGUGAGAAAUGUGAAAAGAGAGAGCUCACUUUCAACUGGGGGCGGGGGGUAUUCAGGAUGUGAGGCUGUCUGAUCACGCCUUUGGUCAGUGGUCAUCUAAAAUUAUUCUGCAGGAUGCUGAGAUAGAGGGAAAUGCCCAUUUUCUUUUCCACAUUUAUUAUGUUUAUAAGCCUUCUUUCCACUGUGAAUUUUCUUCUGGGGAAUGAGGUUUGAACUCUCACCAAAGGCUUUACACACAUUCUUUGUAAAGAUGAGGUUUUUCUCCACUGAACAUUGAUGUCUAAGAAGGCUAGAGCUCUGCCUGACACCUUGCCCAUCUUCACUGCAUACAUAGUGUUUCUUUUUUAUUUGAACUUCCUGCUUGCCUUUUUAAGGGGGAAAAAGGGUUAUUUUUAAAAGGAUUGGACUGGAUUAUUUAAGAGUAUGGUUGCCAGGAAUUUAAUUUAUUCCAAAGAGAUUUAUUUAUAAUUUAUUUACAAAAUGUAGAAAGAGUGAAUUAAGAAAAUCAGAAAGAGGAUAGGGUAAGGUAUCUAGUCUAAGCACUAAGUAAUUUACUUCCAGCCCCUAGCCCAACCCAGGCAGAAAGAGUUGGUUCUUUGCUGGCCUCGGCAAAGCCAAGGACCUGGGAAAAAACUCUCAAGAGGCUAGUCUCUCCUGAGGCUAGUUUCUUCAGAAAAUAUCCAGGAAAGGAGUCCGCUCUUUCACUUACCAUGUGUCAGUCCAACAGUCUCAUCAGGAACAGGGUCUCGGGUCCAGUCAGCCGAUUGUUUAUCAGUCUUCACUCCAAGUCGAACUCCCAGUAGAGCUCCCAGUAGAACUCUCUCUCACAGGAGAUUCCACUCCAAGUGAAAGUUCCAAGUUGAACUGCACUCAGGCAGUUGUCACUCCCUUUUAAAGGCACUUUCUUUUGCAUCACUUCCCCUAAUUUUUACCCAUGCUCUGCUUUAAGACUGCCAUGGAGCAGUUAGUUUAAUUCUGAUUCAUCACCCAGUAUUUCACUCGUGGAUCACAGACCUCUAACUUAAUGAUUAAGUAGGGGUUUUACACUUUUGGUGAUUAAAUCUGAAAACAGGCAGGGGUUACAAUUUAAUAUUCACAAUCGGGAGAGUUAAUUAUUUUCAUUUUCACAAUCAGGGGAGAGUGAAAUUUAAUCUUCACACCUUACAGUAAAUUGCCUACAAUUGCGAUCACUGGAAUCAUAUCCCUGGGCUACGUUCCCUGUAUCAUUUCCCCUAUGUGCAUGAAAGUUUGGCUUUGGACCACAGGUGUAAAUUCUUUAAGGUCAAAACCUUUCUCCUCUGUGGGAAUGUUUCUGUCGCUGGUGGCCACAAGCCUAAAAUGUCUUUCUGGGUAAGAAAAGCAGGCCUCAGAAUAUGCCGUCCUAAUAUGUCGUGGGAUUUAACCUUAUCAAGUAUUUCCAACUUUCGAAUACAUAUCUUAUUCACAGACUCAGUCUUGGUACCUGCCAUGAUAAGGCCAGUCAAGAAACAUUUAUGAAUGUGUUGAGAAAGGGAAAGGACAGUGUCCAUUUUCCAGGUGCUCACAAUCCAAUGAGAGUUACAAAAUGCAAACAACUAUAUGCAAACAAGUUAUAGACAAAGGUAAAUUGGAGAGAAUCAACAGCAGGAAAUCCAUAUCAUGAAGGGGGAUCAGCAAAGACUUCUUGCAGAAGUGAGAUUUUAGUUGGGAUUUGAAGGAAGUCAGAAGGGAGAGGUGAAGGGAGAGAAAGAAAAAAAAACUAUUAACAUCUAGGUUGAUCAGAAAAGGUUUCCUAUAGGAUGUGGCAAGGAAGAGGUACAUCUAGAAGGUACAUGGAAGGUAAUUUCAAAGGGAAAUUAAGGGAUGAUGUUAAGGUCCGGGUUUUCACCCACCACCAAGGCAGUCCGGACAAUGUAAUCAAGCAAGGAGAAAGCCUUUAUUGGGAAAACUGAUACGCGCAUCAGUGGGAACCUCUACCAUCAGAGUUCCGAGUUGCUUCUGACAGGCUGGGGUUUAAAUACUUUUUCAUGAAUAACCUUUGUUGGAAAGUUGCUUUUUGCACCUGGAGUCUCAGUGCUGGAGUUUAUCAAGGACCUUGGACAGGCCCCAGCACAAGCCCUGAGCUUAUCUGUCUGUGGGGCCUUGGCAUUUUUCCUGGCUGAAUUUCUCAGGGCCAACUUUCAAUUUUGAUCUCCCUCAUUUCCAACUUAUUUUUCUCUUAGGGGGGCAGAGGGGGUACCUGCCCACUGAGGCUAGAUCUCCCUCAUUUCCAACUUAUUUUUCUCUUAGGGGGCAGAGGGGGUGCCUGCCCACUGAGGCAGCUUGUGGCUUUCUGUAGCAGUCCACCCCUAGCUAUGGGCAAGGGGAACAGUUGGUAUGUGCAGAUUGCCUUAAAAGAGAGCAUGCUCAGUCUUGAGCAUGCUCAGUAUUGCACGUGGCUGGGAAAGCCUCUGACCCUUGACCCCAGCUUCCCCCAGGUUAGGCGGGGAAAACAGGUUUCUUUGUUCUCACCUGGUUAAGAGAAACCACACCUAUGCCUUGUCAUUAACCAAUGAGGGUCAUCCCUAUGUACUGUUUAUCAAAGGGUAUAUGUAGCCCAGCAAGCUCCGCCUCUAGCUCUCUCUCUCUCUCUCUUUCAGGGCUGAUGGCUGUCCUGGCAGGAGCUUGGCCUCUGGCCAAGCUCCAUCUUUAAAUCUUCUCUAUCUCUCUUUCAUCUCUCCGACUUGUGUGGUAUUAAAUGUAGAUCUCUGGACUGGUAAAAGCCUUCGGAAAGGUCCUUUGAUCAGAGCUUAGCUGUGGCUCAUGGAAAAUUAAUAAAGACUCAUUCUGGCCACCUCAUAUCUUUACUUCGACUCCGUCAUCCCCCUCGUGGUAUCUAAAACUUCUAUCCUGUCUCUAUCUUCCUACCUUAAAGCUUCUCUCCCCUCUGAGGAAGCUUUACUUUCAGCCCAGGGCUCGCUAGGGGUCGGUACUGUUGUCGGAGGGCCAACACCUGGGUGGCACCCAGCCGGCCUUUCAUGAACCGAACAAGGCAGUUAAAAACGCAGGGGCCAAAUGUCAAGAGUAGGGUUAAGAUUAUGAGGGGUCCUAUGAGGGACGUGACUAGGGAGAAGAAUUGAAAAGGUGGGCGUACCAGGGGCCAGCAAUUACCUCUCCUUCCGUCAGAGCUUCUAGACCUUCUCGUAGCUUGCUCAGGGAGUCCCUAAUAAUCCCUGAGUGGUUAACAUAGAAGCAAUAUUCCUCACCCAAGGCUGCACAGAGGCCCCCUCCUUAAGGAAGAGGAGGUCCUACUUGGCAUAGUAGGUCACUCAGGGUACUAUUGUGAGGGGGUGCAGCGGGCAGUGAGGGAGCUAGGGGAGACACCGGGCUGUAGGCCAGAACGGGGGCACAGCCAGUGAGCUCCUGUGGGUGGGAUAAGGUAUCUCCCAGUUGAGGGAUACUCUGUGACCAAGAGGCAGGGGAGAAAGUGAAGAAAUGGAAGCGAGUGGGUCAUGUAUUCCUUUUGCUAGCUGUCUCCCCACUGCUCCUGGUGAGUCGUGCCAUCUGGCCAGCCCAGCCAUCCAUAGGGGAACCACACAGCCUCCUGGAGGGCCAGAAUCUCAGGCCCCACCUGGUUCAGUGUCCCCUGCCAUCCCAUCCCCUCCUCUCCAAAUGUCUAAGGGGAAAAAGGGCGGAGGUCCAAAUCUUCUGUAGUUUCUUCAGUGCUGAGCAUGAGUGUAGAGCUGUCCCUACCUAUGUGUAGGAGAGAGAGGGAGGGGAAUAUGAGGGGGAGGGAAGGCUGCAGACAGUGUCUUUAGGGGCGCGUCCUCAGUGGAUUCCAGGGUCCCAGGUCGGUGGAGAACUGUCUGGAGAUCUGAAGGGUGUCCCGCCACAGCGUCUCCCAAUUGGCACACUGGUCACAAGGGGAAGUCAGCCCCUAAGAUAGAAGUGUACUGGGGCAAAUAGCAGAUAGGAGCAGGACAUUAAUCCAAUAGCAAUGAACAUCACACAUUUGCAUUUGGGUAUCUUAACCAACAGACUUCAUCUUCAGAAAUCAUCUUCUGACAGGAACAGAUCCCUUCCUGAGUUGUUUGCAGAGUUGGUAUGUGGUGUUUCUGUUAAAGAAUAUCCCAUUGCAAAGUACACAUUAACUAUAACAUCUAUAACACUAGAGUAACAAUAUCUUACAGAUGUAUUUCCUUACCCCAGAGGCUGGGGAAACCAAGAAGGCUGUGAGCUAUCUUUCCAAGCUCAAGAACCAAACUUCAACUGUGGUAAAUUAAGGCUACAAAUACAAGCCAUCUAGGAAUAAACUCCACUUAUUUCUCAAAGCAUGUUCCUAACAAUUUGAGAAUUCCCAAUUAUUAGGGUUGUUUGAGGAAAUGGAAACUGUAAUAUCACAAUUUGCAUUAUGUGCUGAUCAUGAGAAUUGUCACGAAGGAAGAAGGUCCUGAAAGGGAAAUAUCUCCAAGUCACAAAAGACACACCAAGCAAGGCUGUCACUUGCCAUUGUUGUUCCACUCAAGGAUGGUCAGGAAAGUUCAGUCCAAAGUGAGCCUUGGGCUGCCUUCUCUAUAACCAUCCUAGGACUUUUUCUCUCCUUAGAGCCCUUGCCACUGGGUCCCAGAAGCCUUCUUUUUCCUUAAAAGACACUUUUCCCCCCAUUUCAGCUGAGAGAAAUUUUUGCUUAUCAGCAAUCCAGAAACAAAUCUCCACACCCCCAAACAAGCCUUGAAUAUCCCUACAAGGCUGAUCACUCAAUUAUUUUCAUGUAUUUACACAUCAGAUGUAGUCACAUGAGUGCUGUAUUAAGUGGUUCCCUAUAAACCAGGGCUGUAUCCUCUCCUGGACCUAGGCCAUCUGAAAGACCAAGACAAGGUCAUGCAGGAAUCACUUCAGGGUAACUGUCCAGAGAAAUGAAAGAAUCAUGUGUGAUUUUCCCACAUACAUUACGUUAUAUAGUAUCCCUAAGUUAAGGAGUCAAUUAUGAGAGCAGAACAUUCAUCUGUUCCCUUUCACCUUCUCUCUCUAAAAUCAAAGAUACCUAGUUUUCAGAACCAUAACACAGAAUGUCCCCAGACCUUUGGGGAAGCAUUUAUGAUCUGGGCUGGGGGAUAGGGAUCCAUAAGGAGGAGAACAAAGGGGAAGUGCUUGGUUCAGAGGAAGGGCAAAAAGAGGGGACCCAGGGUGUCUCCCAAAGACCUGGGAUUUAAGGAAUAGGCCACCUUGAGCUCUUUCUUUCUCUCAGUUCCAGUAAGCAGUUAAUUAGCUGUGAAUGAGGAGGAGGGAAGAAAGCCAAACGGGAAAGAUGCACAGUGAUCGCAGUGAUGCUGAAGUUAAAAAACAAAAACCUCUAAAAGGCAACGAACUGCGGAGCAGAUGAUGGAAUAUCUACCCCUUCUCUUAGUGCAGAGAUGAGGGCUAUUACGAUGUCACACAAUGUUGCUUUGUCAGUUUUUAUGGGUCUGUGUACGGAGAAGCCUCAAGGAAAAGGUGAGCCUCGACGCAGGGGCUGAUGGGAACCCACCACUGGAUCGUGAAAUAAAGUUGCAUGGCCUUCCCCGAGGCCUCAGUUUGUCCACUUGUAAAUAAAGUAAAAAUGGAGAGGCGGGGAGGAGUAGAUGAAGGUGGGCAGAUUUGGAAACAGGCAGAGAAACGGAAGUUCAGAAGGAGACAAUCCCGUCUCGGCCAACUCACAGGAAGUCCCGCCUUCUCGCUUCGCCCUCCCAAUGGAAGCUAAUCGGAAAGGGCAGUUGCCUUUGCGCGGCUGCCACGGCCACGUCCCUGUGCCGUUGCGCAAGCGCACACUAAUAAGAUGGGCGUUCCUCCGGGCUGUCCUAGAGCGGCCCCGCCGGAAGUUCGUGACGCCGUCUUCCAUCUUCCCUAGGGACCGCUGCAGUUGUGUGAGUGAGUGUUAGUGAGCCAGUCAGGCAAAACCGUUAUCCCGGCCGGGCCCGGGUCGGUACCGGCUCCACGUGACAGGGUAACAGUACGUGGUCUAGCCCAGAUUACCUGGCUCUUAGAUCGGACGAAUUUUCUAGGCCUCAGUUUACUCAUCUUUAAAAAGAACAAGUUAGAUUGUGUAGAGCCUGGGACUCGCCCAGUCAGGGAGCAUUUUACAGAGAAGAAGCCCUGGUCCAGUCCGGAGGAAUGGAAAGGGCCCCGAGGAGGGGGAGGCAAGCCCAGAGAGCUGAAGCACUGCCCAAAGGCCCAUCCAUGAAUGGCAGAGCUUCUGCCUCCCAGUUCUUUCUGUUCCUUAGGGAUUGCUGACCUUUCUCAGGAAUCUAUUUAAAUGUCUCAAUGGCUGCCUGUAUACUGCAUCAGGUCAAGCCUCUGGAGUCAGGGUCCACUCUGCCACCCCUGUGACCUUGGACAAAUCAUUCAACCUCCUCGGGCCUCAGUUUCCUCCCUUCUAAUUUUAGGUCUAUGAUCUUAGUGAAGAAUAAUAGCUGGUAUUCAUAUAUAGCCCUCACUGCCACACUGGAAGUAGGUGUGGUCGUUAGCUCCCAUUACAGCCUGAGAGGGAAAGUGACUUGCCCAGGGUCACUCAGUAUCUGAGGUAGAACUUGAGCUUAGGUCUGGUGACUGCAAAUCCACCAUUCUAAUCAACCAUACUACAUAAUUGCCUCAAGAGACUUAAGUUAAACUGGCAAUGCUUGGACCAGAUAUAUUUUACAAAAAGCUAACAUUUUUAUAACCCUUAUUGUAUGUGCCAGGUACCAGUUGCUUUAAGGUGAUUAUCUCCUUUGUUCCUUACACAGUUCUGUUAUUAUGAUCUUCAUUUUACAGCUGAGGAAACUGAGGCAGAUAGGUGAAAUGAGCUGCCCUGGGUCAAAGCUCAGAAGUAAGAAGCUAGGUGAGAACUAAGAUCUUGGUAACAGCUAGUUAGUGCUGUGGGUGCCAGUCCUAGAGAUGAGAGGACCUGGGUUCAAAUGCAGGCUCCUACACUUCUUAGUUGUGUGACCCUGGCCAAGACCCUUAACCCUCAUGGCCUAAUCCUUACAGCUCUUCUGCCUGGGAACCAAUUCAGAAUAUUUAAGACUGAAGGUAAGAGUUUUAAAAAACCAAAACACUUCAUGUCUUCCCGACUCCAGGCCCUUACGUAGCUGAGAUAUGAAUUCAAGAGCUUUUAGCAAGAACUUCAGAACCCAGAGGUUUCCCCUGCCUGUCUGGCAGAAAGGCCAUUUCCAUGAAGUGUUCUUUGAUUUUCCCCUCUCCAGUCAUAAUGAACACAUCCUUCCUGUGAAAUCUCAACAGCUUGGCAUUCCAUAGGCUCAUACCUAUGGAGCCAGAAGAGCCCUUAGAAAUAGGGCCACCCUGAAAGGAAUGAAUUCCCUCCAGAUUUGCUGAAUGCCGGUGUUACAAUAUCUAUCCACGAAGACGACUAGAAACUGGCUGUCUUUCACUAGAGUACUUGUGUAUGGUGUGGCUUGGACUUCUGUUUUUUCCCUCCCCAGACAGCAAAUAUGAGGCCAGAGAAGAUAAAGAAAACUAAAACUGGGGGAAAGGAAAUGACUUAUUCAAAGUCACAUGCCCAGGAAGUAGCCACGCUGAGAUUGAAAGGCACAACCCCUGACUCCAAAUCCAGAGUUCUUUCUACCGCAUUACAGCUCUAUCAGUAAGUAAGUCCUUGUCUCUGGUCAAAUGAUUUUAUGACUAGAGUACACCAUAUGUCUCUGGUCUUCCCCAUGAUCCCUGGCCAGCCAUCAGUGAAGAGAAUUUAUGGCUUUCUAGUCUUCUGGCUACAUGUGUUAUCCAUUAAACUUCUCUCUGUUGCAAGAACCCAUGGGAGACCACAUUUUCUCUUUGCUUUAUGUUAAUUCCUAUCCUAGGUAUGGGAAGCCCAGAAUGACUGGUCGGUGUAGUGGGAAGAAUUCGUGGACUAGAAGUUAAGAAACCUGAGUUUUAGCCGGUAUUCUGCCCGCAGUGCCUUGAGUGAGUCAUUGCUCACCAGUAGGCUUUAGUAUCUUCUGUAAAAUGUGUAGGUUAGAAUAGAUCUUGAGGGGCCUUUCUGUGAUCCUGGGAAGCAUGUUUGGAACUAGUGAGUGGAGCUGAGUGUCAAAUGUGAAUUGUAAUGGAAUCCUAGGGUUGGAAGAGGCCUCAGAAAAUUACGCCACCAGCCAUGCCUGAAUAAAAGGGCCCUCUAUAACAUACCAAGUGAAUGGUUAGUCAGCUUUCACUUAGUAUCUGUAGUGAGGGGGACCCCACAGCUGUCCAAAGCAGCCCAUUUUACUUCUGGAGACCCCACAUAGUCAGGACAUUCUUUUCCUUAUACUCACUUUGAAUCUAUCUCUUUCCAACUUUCAUCCAUUGCCCUGCUUGCUGAGGCCAGGCAGAACAAGUCCAUUAUGCUGGAUACUAUCAUGUCCCUCAUAAGCAUUCCAGUCAUCCGCAGUGCCUUGAAACUGACCCAACAUGGCAUCAUCUCCUUGGAUGCUGUCCCCUAAACAGUUCUUCCAAAGGUGGGAUGCCCCAGACCAAACUGAAGGAAGCAUCCCAAAUGUGAUCUGAUAAGGGUAGUUCAUAAGAUCCGUCAUUUCUACAUUCUGGGAAUUGGUGUGCUAUGUGGCCCACUUACAAAAUUGACUCUUUUGGACUUAAAUGUAAGACUUGGAUCUUUUCCUCCAUUAAAUUACAGUCUUCUUAGGUUUAGCCAGAUGUUCUAGUCUAGAGCUUGUGUCCUACCUUUGUGUCACCUAGAAAUUCCAUAAGCACAACACCUGUGCCCAUAGCCAGGCCGUUGAUCGUUGGGACAUGCCACUGAACAUCUUCAAAAUUCACAUAACCCAUCAAGGCUUAGCCUUGAGUCUGGGCCCAAAUCCCCCUCAAUGUAUUGUUGUGUGAUUCACAGUCUUUCUACAAGGAUGACUUGCUAAAAUGUUGGUAAUCUUUAUGGAAUUCUCCUGAUCUUACAGUCCAGUAUUGUCAGUCAGCUUAUUAAGUGCCUACUAUGUGCCAGGCUCUAUGCUAAACACUGGAGAUCCGAAGAAAGGUAAAAAAUGGAAAUAGUUGCCCUCAAGGAACCCACAGGCUAAUGGAGGAGACCACAUCAUUAUAAUAGCCAACAUUUCUGUAGCAUUUGCUAUGUGCCAGGCACUGGGCUAGGUGCGUUUGAAUUAUUAUUUAUCUGCAAAACAACUCUAGGAGGCAGGUGCUAUUAUUAUCCUCAUUUUGCAAAUGGGAGAAAUGAAGCAAAUAGAUUGAGUGACUUGUCUAGGUCAGGUGCUCUAAUCACUGAAUCACCUAGCUACCUCCAAGGAGUUAUAUGAUAAGAAGAGAAGAUGGGUCUCAUGGGGCCAGGGAAGUGUUCCAUCAGUACCCUGUGAUGUUAGUGGAAAGCAGGAAAGCCUGCAGCAUGAUAGGUGAGCAGGCAUGGAUGAGUUGUUGCCUGCAUCACAUUGGGGCGAUCCCAGAGCUGUUUGAUAUAUUAAUUUGUAAAGGUGAGCUUUUAUUCAGUAAGAUGGGGUUCACCGUGAAGUAGAGCUAGGCAUCCCCUCCAGCAGUGGUGAUGGGAGUCAACGCCAGGGGGGUGAGGAGGGAAGGUUAACCUGUAGCUCGGAAAUCUUCGUAAGCCUGGCUGACUGGAAGUGGGGCAGGUUUGGCGGGAAAGAUUUUCAGAUUCCAGAGCACGGCCAUUUGAGCCGAGGGGGUUAGAGCCGGAUGAGUAGAUGGGUGGAUUUUCAGUGAAAUCCUUGGAGCUUCUGAGAGCACCAAGACAACUACUACAAUGGAAAGGACCAUCUUUUUCCUUUUGUAUUUUUAUUCUCCGCUUAGGUCGUAGUAUAAGCAUUUGUUUCAUUGUAGUCUUUGUAUCUCCAGGUAGGCACAUAAGAAAUGCUUAAUUGACUUAGAAAGUCCAGUUUUCAUAGGCCCCAUGGUGAGUCUAGGGCAGGGAAAUUUGAACCCAGGUCUGCACUCUUUGCCUGGUCCCCUCUCAUGAGAUUAAGAAAAAUACCAUGAAUUGAGCCAUCAGUGGUUAGACUUUGGAGUCAAAGCUAAUAUUUUCCAUGAUUUUGCAGAAGAGGAAAUUGAGGCUGAAGAUGAGACUUUCUGACUCCAGGCCCAGGGCUCUAGUCACUGUGCCACCUAGCUGCCCUAAGGGGCUGCAGGAGCAAAGAAUGGUGCUGUGAAUCUAUAAUCCAUGGCCCUCCUCAACUAGGCUUCCUGGCUGGGAGACCUUGGGCCAGUGCUUUCCCCUCUGGGCUUCCUCAGUUUCCUCCUCAGUAAAAAAGGGGGAGGGUAUGGGGCUGGAGUCCAUGGUCUCCAUGGUCCCUUCUAGGAUUCUGUUUUUGUAGUUCCCAAGCUAUAAGCUCUAGACCCCUUGGGGAUUGCUGAGGUGGCACGUCUUGGAGGGGAUGGUGGGCUUAAUCAGGGCAGGGAGCCUUAGGUUAAGGAGUCAAGGACCCUGGCACAUCAGGAGCAGCCCUGUCUCUAAGAGCCACAUCAGGCCACCUCAGUCUCAGGGACUUAGCAGAAAAGCAGAUAGUUCCUAUGGGGCAUUUCCAGUGUGUUGCUAUAGGCUGCCUUGGAGGACCAGCUGCCCAGCUCAUUGAUUCCUGGGGGUACCUCCAUUCUGGUCCUCUCUUUGCUGUCCAGAUGAGGAAACCACCAGACUGCUGUCCACAAGAGGAAGGAAUGCAGGGCAAAGGUCUCAGUUCCCCAAAGGGUCAAACUCACCUGGACAGAGGGAAGGAUGGGGGAAGAUCUGUCCCACACACACACACACACACACCCCAUCCCUGCCAGGUGCUUACUAAAUCCUCAUUGAUUGAUACACUAUCCUGGAAACAGCCACAGAUGUCCCAGAGAGAGCUUAGUUUACCUUGGGUUUGAACCCAAGCUCUGCCUUUUGCUCAGUGUGUGUUCCUAGACAUGUUCAUUUGCCUCCCUGAGAUGACUCUGGAUCUUAGUUUGUGUUAUCUCAUUAGUGCCUCACAACCAACCCUGAGAUGGUUUACAGAUGAGAAAACGGAGACUCUGAGAGGUUAGUUGUCUUACCAAAGGUCACACAGCUAAUAAGUGGCUGAGAGUAGAUCUCUCUAAAUCCAGCCUUUUCUGUAUGCCACGCUGCCUGUGCAGAAAGCCCCAAGUGCCAAGGAAAUGGCUGAAGUCCAUCUUCCCAUUCCACACCCCUUGUCAAAC